CAGCCAACAGAACAUCACUGCACCUGGAAUAAGUCUGCUCCCUGGCCCUAGCUCCCUCCAGCUGCGCUGAUGUUCAGUGUAGCAGGGCCUGUGGACCACAAACUCCUUCUAGGUGGUGAGAUGAUGGGUGCUGCAAGAGAAUGUCCUGGGGCUUUCACCCUGGCUGGAGAUGGAGGAGGUGCUGCAGCCUCCCCGUCCUCAGCACUCCUGCUCAAUCUUUGACAGGAAACAGAAGACAGUAUAGCAUAUUUUAGUGAAUAAUUUCUCAUGCAAAAUGGUGCCAAAUGGCUACCUCAUUAACGGCAAUCAAAAUAUUAUUAUUUAUUUAAAAACGUUAACAAUAAAUUACUAUUAGGUAUGUAAAUUUACACAUUUUUAUAUUUAUAAUUUGGCUAUUCUUUAUUCCAGUGUCAGUUAAAUGAAAUCCCCGCCGAUAGGCUUAGUAGCCCAUAAAUAGUUUUUACUGAAGGUAAUUUAUUCAGGAUAUGUGCUGUGGUGAUCAGUUAUGCUUCGGUUACCCACAUAUGGGUUAAUGUGCAUCCGGCCCGAGUAAACGCGCACGGCAUACUGCAUUUUGCCGAUGCCUAGUUUAUAAUUCAGUUCGGCAACAGAAAGUGAAUGGGGAGGGUCUCCUUUGAAGCUUCCGAGAUCAAGUGCAGGACGACAGUCUACUUUUCAUCCUUUGAGCCUUGGUAAGCCUGCCUUUUGUCCUUGAUCUUUGUCUACAAAAUCAAUAAUGGGGAGCAAAAUCACCCAUGUGGCCAACGCCUCGGGGAUGCCCAUCCGGGUUUACUACAGCACAGAUAAAAUGCGGCUGGAGGAGCUGGUGAUGGAAGUUAAAGUCAGUGGGGAUGGCUCUGUGACUACAGGAGCGAGCCAAUCAAUGAAGAUGAUUUUCAAAGCCGACACCCGUGCCCGCUGCAUACUCAUUCCUGCAGACGAGUACGGCAAAAUUCUAGAAGCAGGGCCCCUUUACGUCAGCGUCUUUUGGGUUUGCUCCCACUGCAAUAGAGAAUUUGUGAAGUCCAUCUCUGAGAAUUUCUGCAUCCCCACCAACAGGUCCUUUAUUGUGACGAAAAAAGGCCACAUAAAGUGGCAGGGAUUAGGGGAAAACAUUUGGCUAGAUGAGGAUGGCAUCAAACACUAAUGAACCUCUCAGGCAUUAAAGUAAAUUGUUUUACCUUUAGGGCUACAAUGUCUUGUCACUGGGGUGUUACCUUCAAGGA
ensembl:lncRNA